rnacentral:rRNA from 1 species
CAGUAGCCGCGGUAAUACGUAGGGUGCAAGCGUUAAUCGGAAUUACUGGGCGUAAAGCGUGCGCAGGCGGUUAUAUAAGACAGAUGUGAAAUCCCCGGGCUCAACCUGGGAACUGCAUUUGUGACUGUAUAGCUAGAGUACGGCAGAGGGGGAUGGAAUUCCGCGUGUAGCAGUGAAAUGCGUAGAUAUGCGGAGGAACACCGAUGGCGAAGGCAAUCCACUGGGCCUGUACUGACGCUCAUGCACGAAAGCGUGGGGAGCAAACAGGAUUAGAGACCCGUGUAGUCCCUGUCUCUUAUAC